rnacentral:misc_RNA from 1 species
GCAGAUCUUAGUUGCUGUGAUUCAGAGUCACUACGAAAAUGUGAGAAUUACAGAAUCAACUAUGAAAUUAGUGAAGAAAAAGUUUUUGGGUCUCAAUUGCAGUUUGAAACAUCUACUUAUGGUCCUUUGUAUUAUGAACCACCACUGUUAGAAACUUGUACUCCAAUAGAUUUGAAUCCUUUAGUUAUGCGUCAAGUGCAGCAUGAGUACAGUUCUAGCC